rnacentral:tRNA from 1 species
UUUAGGAUGGUUGAGUGGUCUAAGGUGCCAGACUCCAGUUUUGGUCCUCGUGAGAGGGCGUGGGUUCAAAUCCCACUUCUGACA